UGAGGAAGUUACUGCUGCCAGGAAAGCAUUAGAUAAGGGUCGGGAUCUGCUGUCCUGUGCUGUUGACUUUUGUAUCUUCCUCCAUGUCCCCCACCCUGGGAUGUCUGUGUGAUACCUGGAGACACAGCAGCCAUCAUGGAACACCAAGUGACAAGCCAGAGAAUGAUGACCUGGACGGCAACGGCAGAGUGGACAUAUGGAAAGAUCCUGGGUCCCUGAGAACUUCUGCUCCCAAGUUUAUUGGCAAGAUGCGCUGACCUGCUCCCUGCAAUGAAAACUCAUCACCAUGUCAGAGCAUCUGCAGACCCUACAGAACUCCUUCCGGGGACCCCAAUUCAAACCCCUCGUGUUCCACAAGAGGGACACGCCAUCCGCCCAGACAACAGCCUGUGUCGCAUCUCCCAGACCUCCCUCCAUGGCGGUCAGAGUCACGAUGUCAUCAUGACACAGCCGUAAAAGAAGGUCAGCCCGGGUCUCAGGGACAUCAAGGCACUUGGAAUUCGCUGGCCCUCGUUUCUCUUCCCUUUGGCUGUGGUUUGCUUGGAUGUACGUAGGUGGAUUCUGAGAGUUGGUCAACAUAAGAAGAUGCUUCGACCCUCCCCGUCCAUCAAAAAAUAACAGAAGGAAAUGGUCGGUGGGGGAUAGAAAAUGGUCUCAAAGACAGCGAGGCCAGGGCACGUGUUACAGCAGGAGAAGGGGCGGCCGGCCAUGACAUGAAGAGCGUCCGGGAGUCGGACACUCGUGGAGAGCUGGGCUGCCACACCGCGCCACCUAGAAGUCUCCGCCAGUGAGCACAACCUGGACAAAAGAAAGCCAGGGACACAUCCCAAAGUUUACCAAAGAGGAAAACGACGUGGCUCAUCCGCCAGGCCAAGUCCUGGAUCAAAUUCGCUGAUUUCUCCUGCCGAUCUUAACAAUUUCUGGGUAUCGGUGUGAACGUAUUCAGAACGUAACACUCUCUCUGGUGGGUAGGAGUUGAUUAGAAAGUCCUAGAUGACCCUAGAGGCUACGCUUAUCCCAAGCAACGCCACUGGGUUUUGCUACCUCAAUCCCAAGUUCUUUACGACGUCUCGGUAGCCUGUGCCUCAGAGCUUAGUAGAGCCUGGAGCUGUCUAUUUAAUUCUUUACCUGAUGAAUGGAGGUUCCAGCCAGGCUCAAUUUAUGAAUUAGGCGUCAGUGUGUGGAGCUCGGGGGUGACAGUUCAGCACACAUAGUGCAAUGCAGUGACUCACAUGUCCCCACGUCUCAACUACGACCCCAUGCAGGACGCUGCUGCGGGAAUUCUUUCACUGCAAAGGAAUUGUGUUGGUAUGUAGGCAUACUGCGUUGUGGGUUCAGUUGUGUCCCCUAAAAAGUUAUGCUGAGUCCUAAAGCUAGGUGCCAGUGAAUGUGAUUUAGAAACAAGAUUUUUGGGGUUCUCAUUGGGGCUCAGCAGGUUAAGAACCCGACAUAGUGUCCACGAGGACAUGGGUUCAAUCCCUGACCUCACUCAGUGGGUUAAGAAUCCCAUGUUGCUACAAGUUGCACUGUAGAUCACAGAUGUGGCUCAGAUCUGGUGUUGCCAUGGCUGUGGUGUAGGCCAGCAGCUGCAGCUCUGAUUUGACCCCUAGCCUGGGAACCUCCAUAUGCCACAGGUGUGGCCCUAAAAAGAAAAA
rnacentral:lncRNA from 1 species